AGAGUUUGAUCCUGGCUCGAGGAUGAACGCUAGCGGCAGGCCUAAUACAUGCAAGACGAACGGUAAGUUGAGUAGCAAUACUUAGCCAAGAGUGUCGUACGGGUGCGUAACACGUAUGCAACCUACCCUAUACAGGAGGAUAGCCUAGGGAAACCUGGAUUAACCCUCCAUAGUAUUAUUGGAUGGCAUCAUUUGAUAAUUAAAACUGAGGUGGUAUAGGAUGGGCAUGCGUCUGAUUAGUUAGUUGGCGGGGUAAUGGCCCACCAAGACGAUGAUCAGUAGGGGUUCUGAGAGGAAGAUCCCCCACACUGGCACUGAGAUACGGGCCAGACUCCUACGGGAGGCAGCAGUAGGGAAUAUUGGUCAAUGGAUGCAAGUCUGAACCAGCCAUGCCGCGUGCAGGAAGAAGGCCUUCUGGGUUGUAAACUGCUUUUGCCAGGGGAUAAAAUUUCCAUGCGUGGAAAACUGAAGGUACCUGGUGAAUAAGCCACGGCUAACUACGUG
rnacentral:rRNA from 1 species